GGCAGAAAAUAUAGUUUGAAUUGGAUGUCAGGGCGAUGUAAAAAAUGCAGACCAUUUUUGCAUGUCUACAAAAAUAUGUUCAAUUCAAAUUUUUACUGAAACCUUGACUGAGCAAAGUGAAACAUCAUCAUAUAAUGUGGUAGCCAAAUCUACACAAGAUGUAGCCUGCAGAUGUGGUACCAUGAACUGCACGAACAAAACAGACUGAAUGGUUCAAAAAUUGCAUCAAAACUGUUUCACAAUUAACAUAUUCAGGAAAGCCUAAACAUCCUUGACUUACAAACCAAAAAAUGGAACAAAAAUGGUGUGUUGCCUACACCUUUAUCAACUAAAACUGCUUACUCAUUUGUUCACCGCAUAGAAGCAGGUAAUCAAGUAAUAAUCUCCUACAAGAGGUACACCUUUAUCAACUAUCUCCUACUCAAUAUAAAGCUUUCAAAAUAUAUCUAAUUUCCAGGUCUGGACAGAUUCAAGCAACUGAGAGCAUAUCACCCUUUUUGGUUCAAAUUAAAUGGCCCAAUCUUCCAUCAGAUUUACAUGGGGCUUAGAGUUUAGAACGGACUUACAGUUGGAUAAUGCAAUACAGCAAUACCUGUAGAAUAAUAGUGCAAUACCUGUAGAAUAAUAGUGCAAUACCUGUAGUUAAAUCCAUCAGUUUUGGCACAUUCGUAGAAACAUGUUUCUCCAAUGCUCUGCAAUCAUUUGUUAACGCACGUUUUGUCAGUAUGAGCAACCAACAUCAGCUAAAAGGAAUCAUACAAAUGUAGGUACCACAACUCUCUAUAAUGUAAACAGUUCAUAGCAGAAUACGCACAGCGCCAUGAGCAGAUGUUGAAAGCACAAGAUCUUAUACAUAAGGUUUUAACCGUGUAAUGUUGAAAAGCAUAAGACAUUAACAGUAUGUUGUAGAAGGAACAGUACGCCGUAGAAUAAUGCCGUAAACUUAAAUACUAAACUUAAAAAAAAUCAUUAGAAAGAACAGUACGCCAUAGAAAAAUAAUGCAAUACAUAUAGACAGCCUAGCCAAUCCAACUUAAAAAGAAUCAAGUUCCAACUCCACAACACAUAUGACCAUUACAGAACCACUUUUCAGUACCACCAUUCUGGCCUUGCCGUUACAUGGCAACCAAACUAAUCCUCAUUUAUUUUACAAAAAACCAACUACUCUACUGAUCCUUCGUAGGCACAACUCAAUUAACCGGCUGGUUAGCCAAGCAUUUUGUGCCUGCUGCAAUCUUCAAGUAUAUACUGUAACCAACUUAUUUGUUGAUACUAAGAGAUGUAAAAAGAAGCUAGAGUAGCCAAGGUUUAGAUGUUGUGCCAGUCAGCAAAUCUGCACUGCUCUUCUUGGAAGAGCGUCAGAUGGAUCCAACCAUCAUUGGCCAGAGACGCACCAAAGUACAACCUUACAGCCCUUUUUCAUCUCCUCUCGCCUCCUCAGAUAUUAAAAAUAUUGCGUAUUUAAAUUUCUUCUUUAGCAAUGGAAAGCAUAAGGAAAGCUCGAUGAGAAUUGAAUAACUUCCCAGAAAUAAAUAAGUGACAACUAAACGAGGCACACAGCCAAGGCAAAAACUUCAUGAUUUGUAUGCCUUCUUUUCACUGACGGUGAUGCUUACUUUAGUGUAGCCCGAGUGAAAAAGAAAAUAAACUUGUGCCUUAUCGAUCAAAAUGUCACUACCUAGACUAAUGGUCCAAACAAAAUCACCUCUAUGGACAAAAGAACCAAUGGAUAAGUGGCUGUAAUGUGUAUGAUGAAUCAUGCAUAUCUGGCUCUAUAUUAGCAUGUCAGGGAAAAAAUCAAGAGAUUAAAGGCAAUAUAUCAGGGGAUAAUAUGCAUCUUUCACAUCUCAGUUAAAAACAUCACCAGUAAAAGUGUUUGUCUUUGGUUCAGUUUCCCUGACUUCCCCAAGUGCUUGUAUAGUUGAAAAAUAUAUCAUAACUGAAUACAAUGAAACAGCAAGAAGCAAACAGUAAGAAACUUGAAAUGGUGUAGCAAUUAAGUACUACAGCAAACCGAAUAGGAACAGACCAAAUAUAAACAAAGAAGUGCAAUGCCCUUUUCCUUAUGGUGGUGUUCCUUAGUGUAACAUACAAACCAACCAUGUCACCUAUUUUUAUGCUACAUAUAGACUGAAACCAAGCAAGAUAAUGUAAC
rnacentral:lncRNA from 1 species